rnacentral:rRNA from 1 species
GACGAACGCUGGCGGCGCGCCUCAUACAUGCAAGUCGAGCGAGAACCAGGGCUUGCCCUGGGGAGAGCGGCGAACGGGUGCGUAUCACGUGAGCAACCUGCCCCGAAGACCGGGAUAACUCGAGGAAACUCGGGCUGAUACCGGAUGCCCUCGGUGGACCGCAUGGUCCGGCGAGGAAAUGGAUUCCGCUUCGGGAUGGGCUCGCGGCCUAUCAGCUUGUUGGUGGGGUAAUGGCCUACCAAGGCGACGACGGGUAGCUGGUCUGAGAGGACGAUCGGCCACACUGGGACUGAGACACGGCCCAGACUCCUACGGGAGGCAGCAGUAGGGAAUCUUGCGCAAUGGGCGAAAGCCUGACGCAGCAACGCCGCGUGCGGGAUGAAGGCCUUCGGGUCGUAAACCGCUUUCAGCAGGGACGAAAUUGACGGUACCUGCAGAAGAAGGCCCGGCCAACUACGUGCCAGCAGCCGCGGUAACAC